rnacentral:rRNA from 1 species
AUGAACGCUAGCUACAGGCUUAACACAUGCAAGUCGAGGGGCAGCAUGGUCUUAGCUUGCUAAGGCCGAUGGCGACCGGCGCACGGGUGAGUAACACGUAUCCAACCUGCCGUCUACUCUUGGACAGCCUUCUGAAAGGAAGAUUAAUACAAGAUGGCAUCAUGAGUCCGCAUGUUCACAUGAUUAAAGGUAUUCCGGUAGACGAUGGGGAUGCGUUCCAUUAGAUAGUAGGCGGGGUAACGGCCCACCUAGUCUUCGAUGGAUAGGGGUUCUGAGAGGAAGGUCCCCCACAUUGGAACUGAGACACGGUCCAAACUCCUACGGGAGGCAGCAGUGAGGAAUAUUGGUCAAUGGGCGAGAGCCUGAACCAGCCAAGUAGCGUGAAGGAUGACUGCCCUAUGGGUUGUAAACUUCUUUUAUAAAGGAAUAAAGUCGGGUAUGGAUACCCGUUUGCAUGUACUUUAUGAAUAAGGAUCGGCUAACUCCGUGCCAGCAGCCGCGGUAAUACGGAGGAUCCGAGCGUUAUCCGGAUUUAUUGGGUUUAAAGGGAGCGUAGAUGGAUAUUUAAGUCAGUUGUGAAAGUUUGCGGCUCAACCGUAAAAUUGCAGUUGAUACUGGAUAUCUUGAGUGCAGUUGAGGCAGGCGGAAUUCGUGGUGUAGCGGUGAAAUGCUUAGAUAUCACGAAGAACUCCGAUUGCGAAGGCAGCCUGCUAAGCUGCAACUGACAUUGAGGCUCGAAAGUGUGGGUAUCAAACAGGAUUAGAUACCCUGGUAGUCCACACGGUAAACGAUGAAUACUCGCUGUUUGCGAUAUACUGCAAGCGGCCAAGCGAAAGCGUUAAGUAUUCCACCUGGGGAGUACGCCGGCAACGGUGAAACUCAAAGGAAUUGACGGGGGCCCGCACAAGCGGAGGAACAUGUGGUUUAAUUCGAUGAUACGCGAGGAACCUUACCCGGGCUUAAAUUGCAGAUGAAUUACGGUGAAAGCCGUAAGCCGCAAGGCAUCUGUGAAGGUGCUGCAUGGUUGUCGUCAGCUCGUGCCGUGAGGUGUCGGCUUAAGUGCCAUAACGAGCGCAACCCUUGUUGUCAGUUACUAACAGGUUCCGCUGAGGACUCUGACAAGACUGCCAUCGUAAGAUGUGAGGAAGGUGGGGAUGACGUCAAAUCAGCACGGCCCUUACGUCCGGGGCUACACACGUGUUACAAUGGGGGGUACAGAGGGCCGCUACCACGCGAGUGGAUGCCAAUCCCCAAAACCUCUCUCAGUUCGGACUGGAGUCUGCAACCCGACUCCACGAAGCUGGAUUCGCUAGUAAUCGCGCAUCAGCCACGGCGCGGUGAAUACGUUCCCGGGCCUUGUACACACCGCCCGUCAAGCCAUGGGAGCCGGGGGUACCUGAAGUGCGUAACCACGAGGAGCGCCCUAGGGUAAAACUGGUGACUGGGGCU